GAAAUCUGUAGCGUCUGAAGCAUGGGUCUGUGGUUCUCAGCGGAACACACGGUCCCAAAAGGCCCUUCCCAAGAUGGCCGGGGCUUCCGCCUGCCGCCCUCCCUCCCGUGGUGCUGAGCGCAGGCUGGGCGCGGCCACAUCACCCUAAGGGCGUGGGUGUCGGAGUCUUGCAGGCUGGGGUCCCAGGUGAGAGAUGCCAGCAGGGAGCUCUAGAUGGGGAACUGGGUGAGCCUGGCUCGGUAAGGGCGUGCUCAGAACACCCCAUCCCCGAACACGGUCUUGUGUGAUAAAAUGUCACGCAAGAAGAAUCUGAAACCGCGAGAAGAGGAGGACACGGCCAGACUGCACCGAACCCCGGCACCUCUGUGGGGAAAAGCAGGUCAGGCUGAGCGGGGCCGGCGGGGACACGCGCUCCUGGGCUUCUCCAGAGUCUGCCGGGGCCGGGCCCGGGACCGAGGCUGGGACGCGCUGUGCAGUCCCACCCCUCACACCCCUCGCACGCCUGGAAACACCCUCGGGGUAACACAAGCCGGGGUUGAGUUUCUUGAAGAGAAGCUGGCUGCAUCCUGGAGCCAGGGAAAGAGGAGCACAGGGGCCAAGCGGUCCAGGGCCACGGAGGAGCAGGACCCCUGGGGAAAGGCCCGGGUCUAGGCCGGGGCCAGGGGACCGUGGUGGAGACCUCAAAAAUGGCAGAACACGGAAGCAGGGCGAGAAAAGUAAACGUAGUCCUUGCGGCAGUUUGAAAUACACGCGGGUAAACGCUGGGUGACUCCGCCCGGAUGCAGAGUGGGGGUCUGUGUCUCUCCCCACAGGCUGCAGGGACCGGGCUCUGGGUAACCAGCAGAAGGUAACAGAACGAGGCUGCUUUUCCUCCAGGCUGUUCUGGUGUCCGCGCGUGGCUUGUGCGCUGACUCCUGACUUGGAGCGCCGCGUGGCCAGAGAAAUCUGGGUGCCUCCAGGCCACCAUGGUGAGAGGAGAGGCCACCGCACGAACGGAAGAAGCGAUGGAGACGGUCUUUACGACCUAAGAACAGAAAGAGUUUCUUAUACACAAUCCGAAAAGUAAAAAUUGAUUGAUUGAUUGAUUGAGAUGGAAUCCCACUCUGUCGUCCAGGUUAGAGUGCAAUGGCUUGAUCUCGGCUCAUUGCAACCUCCGCCUCCCGGGUUCAAGCGAUUCUCCUGCCUCAGUCUCCCGAGUAGCUGGGAUUAUAGGCGCCCGCCACCACGACUGGCUAAUUUUUAUAUUUUUAGUAGAGACGCAGUUUCACCGUGUUGACCAGGCUGGUCUUGAACCCCUGACCUCAGGUGAUCCGCCUGCCUCGGUCUCCCAAAGUGCUGGGAUUACAGGCGUGAGCCACCGUGCUGGGCCAAAAAUCAAUUUUAAAACGACCACAUGAAAAAUAAAUCUCCUGUAUCACAGAGCAUGUUCUGAGGAAAAUGAAAGCCACAGAUCCAGAAGAUAUUUGUGACACAUAUGAAAAACAAAAACUCAUAUUCAAAACAUACACAGCAUUGCUAUGAAUCAUUAAGAAAAAUGAUUUCGUCUCCUCUACAGGAGCCUGAGUGAAGGACAAGGACAGAUCAUUAUAAACCAGGGAGCUUGAAGAGCUAGUUAACAAGCACAGAAAAUAUGUUCCCCCACACUGUUAAUCAAGAAAAUUAAAACUGUAAUGAGAUGCCGCAUUGUAUCCAUGGGAUUUCUAAAAGUACAAAGUUCCACAAUACCCGUUGUUGACGGAGCAGGGAAACCGCAGGAGCCUGCAGGAGAUGAGAUUGUAAAUGUGCAAGGACAUUUUGGAGAAGAGUUGACAACAUCUCACUCACGUGUAUCAAGCCAAGUGCCGAAAGAAGAAUUGGUUGUCAUAAAGAAAACAGAAACCCAGAAUGGAUGUAGCUUAUCCCUCCGAUGGAAAGUUACAAAGAAGUUAAAAUGAAUGGGCUGCAUCUCUGUGUAACAAUUUGGAUCAAUAUCAAAGACACAUUUGUUAAAGCAAGGUGUACAAUGAAACCUGCAACAUGAUUUGUCUGUUUAGUAAAACACAGAAAAUCUAACUCCGCCUGGCUUACGAACACACACAUGUGUUAGAAUUUGGGAAAAGGAAAGGGAGGGAGGCCGGCUACACGUGAACUUUUGGAAAAUCUCAGAGGGUCUGGGGCACCAGGUGGAGACCAUGGCAGCCUUCAGGGAUAUGAGUGAGUUCUCGUGAGAUCUGAUGGUUUUAUAAGGGGCUUUUCCCCCUUUUUCUCGGCACUUCUCCUCGCUGCCGCCACAUGAAGAAGGAUGUGUUUGCUUCCCCUUCUGCCAUGAUUGGAAGUUUCCUGAGACCCCUCCAGCCAUGCUGAACUGAUUUCCUGAAGACACCAUCCCAGUCAAGUGGUCUGCCUCAUACUGAGCCACCAGACCACCCAGCAUGUCCUCACCCGCGUGGACAGAUGACAGGGGGCUCUGAGCAUGCCCCAGUGCACCUUACGCACCUGUGAAGGUUGGGAGCCUGAGUGCAGCUCCUGUGGCACUGCCCGUGGCCAGGGAGAUGCCUCCUCAGUGCUCCUGACCCUCGGUGGAGGACCGGCCAGCGUGUGUGCCGACAGUGUGUCCACACAGGUGUGCUGCGCCCAAUGGGCAAGUCGGAAACAAAGGAAAAUGCUCUCUGAAGGAAAAGGCAAAGCAAUUUGGAUUUCUGCGAGAAAAUGAGACUGCAUGUGGCACUGUAAAUACCCUUGCUGCUGAACUUCUCGCUCCCCCCAGAUACACCCUUCAUAUUGACAUGUCUAGAACCUUAAACUGAACCAAGUUGAAAAGUGAGAUUAAUUAGGGCUGAGUUAACAGUUAACACAUACAAUGAAAUAUUGAAUAAGGCUUACUGAGCAAACAAGAAUAUACAGAAGUGGAGGAGACAAAGAGGAUAUUAAAAAUGCAGACAGUGAUGAGGCAGAUAGCUGGGACAAAUAAUGAAAAAUAGUAAAGGAGAUAAGGCAGAUAUUGGAGGAGCAAAGAGUCUCUGAAAUAGAUAUCGGUAUUGAAAGAUGCUAAACACGCUUCUAAAGAGACUUUCUAGCCGACACAGGGAGCUCACUGAUGGAUGAAGUAGAAACAUUUUUAAAUGGAAUCAAACAGGGCAAAGCGGGAGAAGAAAAAGAAGUAGGUAAACCAGUAAAUUAACUUUUCUCGUGUGUGCUGUGUACUAUUUGUGAGUGAGCAAUGAACGCUGUGGCUCCCUGGAGGGGCUGUGGUGGGAAGUUUCACUGCGAUCAAGUAGAGGUGGUGCCUUUGGACCUCUUCUCCUGAACCUGCAGGGAGAGGCGCAGAAUAUUCACAAGGUGAAGAUGCAACAAUUCAAAUGAGUGUCCAGGUUUUCAGGGUGGUUGCUAAACCCCAAAAGACCGAUAGCUUCGGGCAAAAGACUGCAGAAAGAACAGCUUUACAUUUUUACGGAAGCAAUGGGAAAUAUACCCUGUAAGCCUUGAAAAAUUCCCGAAGGGAUUCCUGUUCAUUCCUGUGGAUCCUAAUGGGCCAGCAUAGACCUGUUAGUCAAAAGAGGAUUUAUCUACAUUGCACACUCAUUCAGGCAGGCAGGGAAGUCAACGCCACUUUCAGAUGUUUGUAGAGCAUGAACUCUGUCCGUUCCCACGCCCUCCAAAGGCUGUUACACAGGGAUGCCCGCUUCUGGACAGAAGUGAUUCAUGCAGGAUGAGAACCAUGACCACAGAAGAUUUUGUGCAUGUGGUUAUUUCAAUAUUUAAUUUAAGUGUAUGCAUGAGUGUUCAGGAUAAAAAUGCUUGGAGUGUACUUUAAUUCCAUUAAAAA
ensembl:lncRNA NHIP neuronal hypoxia inducible, placenta associated